rnacentral:rRNA from 1 species
CCUACGGGUGGCAGCAGUGAGGAAUAUUGGUCAAUGGACGAGAGUCUGAACCAGCCAAGUAGCGUGAAGGAUGACUGCCCUAUGGGUUGUAAACUUCUUUUAUAUGGGAAUAAAAUGUUCCACGUGUGGGAUUUUGUAUGUACCAUAUGAAUAAGGAUCGGCUAACUCCGUGCCAGCAGCCGCGGUAAUACGGAGGAUCCGAGCAUUAUCCGGAUUUAUUGGGUUUAAAGGGAGCGUAGGUAGAUUGUUAAGUCAGUUGUGAAAGUUUGCGGCUCAACCGUAAAAUUGCAGUUGAAACUGGCAGUCUUGAGUACAGUAGAGGUGGGCGGAAUUCGUGGUGUAGCGGUGAAAUGCUUAGAUAUCACGAAGAACUCCGAUUGCGAAGGCAGUUCACUGGACUGCAACUGACACUGAGGCUCGAAAGUGUGGGUAUCAAACAGGAUUAGAUACCCCUGUAGUC